CAGCUUUUAUUUUGGUGGGAGGAAUUUUUAGCCAUGAGCGAUGCAGCUCAUAACAGAUCAGUCGGAGGAAGCAGGGCUGGAAUGACAUGCUCUGUAUUCUCUUUCAGCGAGAGGUGAGAGGAAGGGCAACGGGGGGCAAACGAGCGACGGGAACCUGAAGAGAGAGAUUAGCUGGGAUCAUGCAGUUUGAUAUCCAGUCCUCUGAAUGAGCAGGUGUUUGAGACGAAACACGGAGGAGAAAUGAGUAUCCAGGCUCACAGGUAUACAAACAACAACAGAACGUCCUUCCGUCCAGCCUCAGUUUUUGUCCAGAUGACCCUUUCAGAACAACCACAGUGUUCAGGAGGUCCAAUAAACUGCAGCCUCAGGUACAAAACUGCUUGAAAUACUGUUAAACUAUUUAUUUCUUCUUGAA
rnacentral:lncRNA from 1 species